AGCCAGAACACAGGUGCUGCAUGGUUGUCGUCAGCUCGUGCCGUGAGGUGUUGGGUUAAGUCCCGCAACGAGCGCAACCCUCAUUGUUAGUUACUACCAUUCAGUUGAGGACUCUAAUGAGACUGCAACGACAAGUUGGAGGAAGUGGGGAUGACGUCAAAUCAUCAUGCCCUUUAUGACCUGGGCUACAAACGUACUACAAUGGCCAAUACAAAGAGAUGCGAAGCGGUGACGUGGAGCGAACCUCAGAAAGUUGGUCUCAGUUCAGAUUGAAGUCUGCAACUCGACUUCAUGAAGGCGGAAUCGCUAGUAAUCGCGGGUCAGCAGACCGCGGUGAAUACGUUCCCGGGUUUU
rnacentral:rRNA from 1 species